rnacentral:lncRNA from 1 species
CUUUCAGAGAGUUCUCUGAUACUACAACUUUUGUCAGUACGUGAAUGUCAAGCCACCACUGACUUUCGCAGCCACAGAAGCACAUGGCUACCUCAGUCAUAUCAAAAGAUGAAACAUGAAGGACAGUCUCCAUCUUUUUUGCUUCGUGAAUCCAGGAAUGGACACUCACUGUGUGAGAGGACAUAAGAUGUUGCUGCCCAGAGCCAGGGGAUAAGAAGUACAUUUUCCAUGGAAGGAACUUCAUUUGCAGUUCUGUUUUCUCCAUACUGAGAAGCACAGUUGGCCCAUGCAGGCACAGCCAAGUCUACCAUCAAUGGUUUUCCCACUGCCUAGACAAGUUCCCUCCUCCAGGUCCUGCCUUGAAUUCCUCCCUGGAUUCCCUCAGUGAUGGACCAUGCUAUAUAAACAUAAGCCGA